rnacentral:misc_RNA from 1 species
GACAUGCGAUAAGUAGUGUGAAUUGCAGAAUUCAGUGAAUCAUCGAAUCUUUGAACGCACAUUUCGCCCUUUGGUAUUCCUUAGGGCAUGCCUGUUCGAGCGUCAUCUAAACCUUCAAGCCCUGCUUGGUGUUGGGUGCCUGUCCCGCCUCCGCGCGCGGACUCACCUCAAAUCCAUUGGCGGCCCCCGCGUCGGCCACGAGCGCAGCAGAAACGCGAACUCGUGAGCCCGUCCGGGCGGCUCCCAGAAGCUACACCCACCCAGUUUGACCUCGGAUCAGGUAGGGAUACCCGCUGAACUGAAGC